rnacentral:rRNA from 1 species
GACGUAGGGCGCGAGCGUGUCCGGAUUUAUUGGGCGUAAAGAGCUCGUAGGCGGCUCGUUGCGUCGGCUGUGAAAACCCGCAGCUCAACUGUGGGCUUGCAGCCGAUACGGGCGGGCGUGGGAUUCGGAUAGGGGAGACUGGGAAUUCCUGGUGUAGCGGUGGAAAUGACGGCAGAUAUCAGGAGGAACACCGGUGGCGAAGGCGGGUCUCUGGGCCGGAUACUGACGCUGGAGGAGCGAAAGCGUGGGGAGCGAACAGG